ACAAGCGAGACAUCGACAAGAACAAGGAGAAAGUUCUUCUACCACAAAUCCACCACCAUUCAUACCUAACAUGGAGCCACCACCACCGCCUAUUUCUACUCCAUGCAUAAACAGUCCAAGAAACACUGCUCAGUUUGCCAACCACACGGGAAGGCAAGCUGAGAUGAAAACGGGAACUCUCAAUUUAUUAUAUGGAAGUCCAUUCACCGGAAUGGACCAUGAAGAUCCCUUUGCUUUUCUCACAAAAUUUUAUGAGAUAGCAUUGGCGGCCGGAGUGGAUCAGGC
rnacentral:lncRNA from 1 species